rnacentral:rRNA from 1 species
GCGAACUGGUGAGUAACACGUGGGAAACCUGCCCACAUGCGGGGGAUAACACCUGGAAACAGAUGCUAAUACCGCAUAACAACUUGGACCGCAUGGUCCGAGCUUGAAAGAUGGCUUCGGCUAUCACUUUUGGAUGGUCCCGCGGCGUAUUAGCUAGAUGGUGGGGUAAUGGCUCACCAUGGCAAUGAUACGUAGCCGACCUGAGAGGGUAAUCGGCCACAUUGGGACUGAGACACGGCCCAAACUCCUACGGGAGGCAGCAGUAGGGAAUCUUCCACAAUGGACGAAAGUCUGAUGGAGCAACGCCGCGUGAGUGAAGAAGGGUUUCGGCUCGUAAAACUCUGUUGUUAAAGAAGAACAUAUCUGAGAGUAACUGUUCAGGUAUUGACGGUAUUUAACCAGAAAGCCACGGCUAACUACGUGCCAGCAGCCGCGGUAAUACGUAGGUGGCAAGCGUUGUCCGGAUUUAUUGGGCGUAAAGCGAGCGCAGGCGGUUUUUUAAGUCUGAUGUGAAAGCCUUCGGCUCAACCGAAGAAGUGCAUCGGAAACUGGGAAACUUGAGUGCAGAAGAGGACAGUGGAACUCCAUGUGUAGCGGUGAAAUGCGUAGAUAUAUGGAAGAACACCAGUGGCGAAGGCGGCUGUCUGGUCUGUAACUGACGCUGAGGCUCGAAAGUAUGGGUAGCAAACAGGAUUAGAUACCCUGGUAGUCCAUACCGUANACGAUGAAUGCUAAGUGUUGGAGGGUUUCCGCCCUUCAGUGCUGCAGCUAACGCAUUAAGCAUUC